CGGACGACGCUGGCGGCGUGCCUAACACAUGCAAGUCGAGCGGAGAUAGACUGAUGGUAACUGAAGCUUAUCUUAGCGGCGGACGGGUGAGUAACACGUGGGCAACCUGCCUUGGAGGUGGGGGAUAACACCGGGAAAUCGGUGCUAAUACCGCAUAACAUACACAAACUGCAUGGUAAGUGUAUCAAAGGAGUAAUCCGCUUUAAGAUGGGCCCGCGGCUGAUUAGCUAGUUGGUAAGGUAACGGCUUACCAAGGCGACGAUCAGUAGCCGACCUGAGAGGGUGACCGGCCACACUGGAACUGAGACACGGUCCAGACUCCGUACGGGAGGCAGCAGGUGGGGAAUAUUGCGCAAUGGGGGGAACCCUGACGCAGCAACGCCGCGUGGAGGAAGAAGGUCUUCGGAUUGUAAACUCCUGUCUUCUGGGACGAAGUAUGACGGUACCAGAGGAGGAAGCCACGGCUAACUACGUG
rnacentral:rRNA from 1 species